UAUGACGGGUAUCCGGCCUGAGAGGGUGAUCGGACACACUGGAACUGAGACACGGUCCAGACUCCUACGGGAGGCAGCAGUAGGGAAUAUUGCUCAAUGGGCGAAAGCCUGAAGCAGCAACGCCGCGUGGAGGAUGAAGGUUUUAGGAUUGUAAACUCCUUUUGUUAGAGAAGAUAAUGACGGUAUCUAACGAAUAAGCACCGGCUAACUCCGUGCCAGCAGCCGCGGUAAUACGGAGGGUGCAAGCGUUACUCGGAAUCACUGGGCGUAAAGAGUGCGUAGGCGGGAAGGUAAGUCAGAUGUGAAAUCCUGUAGCUUAACUACAGAACUGCAUUUGAAACUACUUUUCUAGAGUGUGGGAGAGGUAGGUGGAAU
rnacentral:rRNA from 1 species